CCAAAGAUGGCGGGCUUCGGCCCCCGUCCCCAACCCUUUGUUGACCAAAACCCUUUUGCCUCGGGGGCAGAGCGUCCGCCGCCGCCCCCGGAGGACCACCAAACACUGUCUCUGUACGUCGGAGUAUUGCUUAAAUGAAUGA
rnacentral:misc_RNA from 1 species